rnacentral:rRNA from 1 species
GGAAUUUUUGACAAUGGGGGAAACCCUGAUCAAGCAACGCCGCGUGGAUGAUGAAGUCUCUUGGGACGUAAAAUCCUUUCGACGGGGACGAAACCGCAAGGUUGACGGUACCCGUAGAAGAAGCCCCGGCUAACUCCGGUCCAGCAGCCGCGGUAAUACGGGGGGGGCAAGCGUUGUUCGGAAUUACUGGGCGUAAAGGGUGCGUAGGCGGCUGUCUAAGUCGGAUGUGAAAACUCUGGGCUCAACCCAGAGCCUGCAUCCGAAACUGGAUGGCUUGGGUUCUGGAGGGGAAAGCGGAAUUCCUGGUGUAGCGGUGAAAUGCGUAGAUAUCAGGAGGAACACCGGUGGCGAAGGCGGCUUUCUGGACAGAUACCGACGCUGAGGCACGAAAGCUAGGGGAGCA